rnacentral:misc_RNA from 1 species
GAAAUGCGAUACGUAGUGUGAAUUGCAGAAUUCAGUGAAUCAUCGAAUCUUUGAACGCACAUUGCGCCCUUUGGUAUUCCAAAGGGCAUGCCUGUUCGAGCGUCAUUUGUACCCUCAAGCUUUGCUUGGUGUUGGGCGUUUUUUGUCUUUGGCUCUCCCAAAGACUCGCCUUAAAACGAUUGGCAGCCGGCCUACUGGUUUCGCAGCGCAGCACAUUUUUGCGCUUGCAAUCAGCAAAAGAGGACGGCAAUCCAUCAAGACUCCUUCUCACGUUUGACCUCGGAUCAGGUAGGGAUACCCGCUGAACUUAAGC